UCUUCAAUGACAUCAUGUUACUAAAGGUGGCCAGGUCCAGGGGGAGCACGGACUCAGUCUUCUGCACUCUUUGUCCAUGUGGCGACUCUGGAAGCCCACUCAUCUGUAAGAACAUGCUCCAGGGUCUUGCCCUCCAUGGACAAGAUGACAGGACAGCUCCACGGCUCUUCAUCCAACUCUCAAGCUUCCUGCCCUGGAUAAAGGAAACCAUGAAAUCCUAUGAAAUGCCUCUAACUGUAGGAACCAGCCCACCUUCUCUGGAGCUGAUCCAGAAUGUCACCAGCAACUAAAUAAAUGUCUCUUAGCUGAGCAGGAAGGGCUGGUUUCUUGUUUAUUCAUUGACCCUCAUUCACAGGCACUAACUCUGUCCUUAGAAGGCCAAUGACACAAAUCUGCCGUUUCCUGCUUCCUCCUCUUUUGCCUCCCACCACCUCCCCCAAACCUCAAGCAAAGCUGUUCCCCAGCUCCUUCUGACCCACACCUUUCUCUGGGCCUGCCCUUCUGCCAGGGCUGCAGCUGAGCACCAUCAGGACAAAACAUGAACCUCUCUGGUCCUGGGGCUCAGGGUGAACUUCUUAUCUCUUUCCCUGU
rnacentral:lncRNA from 1 species